CCUACGGGAGGCAGCAGUGGGGAAUAUUGGGCAAUGGGCGCAAGCCUGACCCAGCAACGCCGCGUGAAGGAAGAAGGCCCUCGGGUUGUAAACUUCUUUUAUCAAGGACGAAACAAAUGACGGUACUUGAUGAAUAAGCCACGGCUAACUACGUGCCAGCAGCCGCGGUAAUACGUAGGUGGCAAGCGUUAUCCGGAUUUACUGGGUGUAAAGGGCGUGUAGGCGGGACUGCAAGUCAGAUGUGAAAACCAUGGGCUCAACCCAUGGCCUGCAUUUGAAACUGUAGUUCUUGAGUGUUGGAGAGGCAGGCGGAAUUCCGUGUGUAGCGGUGAAAUGCGUAGAUAUACGGAGGAACACCAGUGGCGAAGGCGAGAACUUAGGCUAUCACUGACGCUUAGGCUCGAAAGUGUGGGGAGCAAAUAGGAUUAGAUACCCGGGUAGUC
rnacentral:rRNA from 1 species